AGAAGGAAAGACAGAGGUGUCACAAAAGGGAAGAAGAGUUGGGGCCCAAGGUCAAGAGGGGACUUUCAGAAAGGGAGUGAGAGGGGAGGGGCCAGUACAGGUGGAGAGCACUUACUAUGUAUCCAGCUUCCAGAGAAUGACGGGAGGAGGCCUGAGAAAGACCAGAGUCCAGAGCAGAAUACAAGAAGGAGAUGCAGAAGGAAGGGACUGAAAGCCGGGAAACCUCAGGAGAUAGAGAUACCAGUGCCAGAGCAGGUGCCUCACACUGAGGCUCAGGACCAUGGCCUGCUACUCACAAUGCCCUGACGCCUUUGAACCUGAGAUGUCCAUCCAAGUCUGUUUUAAUCCCCCAUUGCAAACCCUGGAAUUAGAUAUUUUGUCUUU